UCUCUCGAGAAAGCAAGAUUAAAAUUGAGCAACACACUUUUGGCUAAAAUAACGUCUGUGAUUCAACAAACAAAAGGCUAAAGAUUGUUGAAAUCCAAUAUGAUGUUUCUAGAAUGGUCAUUAAAUAUAUUAUUAUACAUUACUGUAAUAACAAUGGCCACUUUUACUAAUGAAAACGCAAAAAUUCCGUGCCAUACCGUACCUAAUUACCGUAAUUCAUUAAACAACGACUGUAUAAUGCCGAUUCAUUACAACCUGGACAUGAUAGUGUUACCAGGCAUUUCAUUUAUUGGCGAGUUGAAUGUCACUUUUUAUAUUAAUUGUGAAAUAUCCAAUAUAACUCUACAUAUUGCAAGAUCCGAGCAUAUAGUGAAAGUGAUGCUUAAAUCGCCUAAUGGAACAAUCUAUACUCCAAAUUUUGAUUAUUCGAGAAAUUUUGCUACUUUGAAUUUCAUUAAAUAUUUAUCGCCUGAAAAUACACACUUAGAUUGUGGAGUUUAUACAAUGUACGUAAAAUAUGAAAUCAUAUUUGUUCAUCGGCAUUAUGGAAUGUACUAUAUAAAAAGAGAAGAUAGAAAAGAUAAAGAGUUUCUAUUCGCAAAUUUACUCCAACCGAGAAAUGCUCGACAAUUAUUUCCGUGUUGGGACGACCCAAAACUGAAAGCAACUUUUAACAUCACCGUCAAAUUCGA